rnacentral:lncRNA from 1 species
AAAAAAGAGACAUUUUAAUUGGAUAAUAAAGUCAUACGAGGGACGAGUAAGGCCCCAAAGCAAUACAUUCCUGGCCAGUCAUGGACUGUUCAAGACACUGACUCAGAGCUCUGGGCCAAACCUCUGUCUUGAAUAUAUUUCAAUUAAGAUAUAAUGAAAUAUAUUUAAUUAAAAUGAAAAUGAAAAUUUAAACAUUUUUUAAAAAUUUAUUUUUAAAAACAUUUUUGUCUUUUUUUAGGGCCGCACCUAUGGCAUAUGGAGGUUCCCAGGUGCAGCCCUAAAAAGAAAAAAAAGGAAAAAAAAAAGAAAAAGAGGGGUCUUGCAGAGACCACUGAUGAUGUGCCUUGAAUGGAAGAGGUUUCAUGAUAGAACUCAGAAGAAAAAAACACUGGGGUUCCCAUCGUGGCUCAGCGAGUUAAGAACCUGACCAGUAUCUGUGAGGAUAUGGGCUUGAUCCCUGGCCUCUCUUAGUGGGUUAGGGAUCUGGCAUCGACAUAGCUGCAGUGUAGGUCACAGAUGUGGCUCUGAUCUGGCGUUGCUGUGGCCGUGGCGUAGGCCAGCAGCUGAAGCUCUGAUUCGACUCCUAGCCUGGGCACUUCCAUAUGCUGCAGGUGCAGCCCUAAGAAGAAAAAAAAAGUCCAGCAUCCACUGAGAAUGUGUUUCCAUACAAAGUCUGCGCACACCUGAAGGACGAAGAGGGAGCACGCAGGCGUGGGAAGGAGAGCUGCAGUGUGGUAGAUGACAGCCUCAGGGCUCCGAAUACUCUUCACAAUUCUUCUUAACCUCCUUAGUAGCCCCUGGCCACCCUCGACUCUAUCGAUCCAGCCCUCAGGCGUCUAUGCAGACUGGGGCGUCCACUGCACACUUCUCUGCCCUCUGUCUGGCGAAUUCCCACACUUCUUUACAACUCAGCUUAAACACUGCCCCCCCCACCUCACCCCCCGGCAGGAGGCAUCCCCCUGCCUCCCAGAGCUGAUUCACUGCCUCUUCUUAUCUUUCCCAGACAACCAGUGAUGGCUCGAGCUGAGCCGCUUCAACACUAGUCUCUUCUUAGAAGCACAGCCUUUCAGGGAGUGGAGAGAAACACUGGGGCCGUGCCAGCCAAGGGAGGAAAGUCUGGCCUGGGAGAGGGGAGAGCUGGGGUGGACUGGACAGUGAAGGGGGUGAGGCCCCUGGGUGAUUUUUGCCUUGGCUUUCCCUUUCAAUUCCCUAGCCCGGCCCUGCCAAGCCAACCAAUUCUGUCAAAUCUUAUUUCUCAGGUGCCUGUGAUCCCAAGACACCGUGGUGCGGGAUUGCAACGCCACGGCCAUUCUUUGAGUGUUGGACCCAGGCAGGGAGGGAAGGCUUGGACGUGAGCAAUGUCAGAUAACAGUGGCAGAAUAGAGUGAAAGACAGCAGAACAGGACAGCAGAAAAGGGAUGGCCUGUGGGCACUGAAUGGUCUGGGUGCAGGGGGCAGGUGCCUGCAGGGGCUGCAAAGGGAAGUCCUCUGAGAACCGGCCCAAUGUCCAGGAGGAUGCAGGCUGGAUGGGGAAGGGGGACUGCAUGCGAACGGUCCACGAGGAGCCCCCGGAUUGGAGGCCAGAACAGAAGAAAACAUCAGGGAGUCUGGGAGGGUUAUCAGGGCCAGAAUUUUGAGGCCCUCGCAAGCCAGGCAGAGGGACAGUGCUGGGAAAACGGCGGUGAGAAAUGCAGAAAGCCGCGCAGCUGAUGAGAGGUGUUUAGGGGGAAAUGGGUCUGGGGGCGGCCCUUCGGGAGGCUGAGGCAAAGAACCCAGUUAGUAAACUCCUCCGAAAUCACAGCCGGGCAGGAGGCACAUGGUACUAGAGUCUCACGUCGUGUCCCCCCCCCCAACCCCCGUCAGCACGACUGACAUCAGCAGCUCACUGGCGCACACUUGCCCCUGACUCCAGGUGCAACUCCAGAGGGUUUUUUAGGCCACUCUGGGCUCCUGGCAGCCCCUACCGAUCCAUCCAGGGUGAUGGGUCAAAUCUCCCCGCCUUGCGGGUUCGAUCAGUCAGGCGAUGUUAUGGGGCACUGACACGCAUCCUCAAAUUCCAGUGGCUUAAAGCGGUGAAGGUUCAUCGCUCAUUCAGGCUACCUGUCCAUCACAGUUGACCAGAGAUGGCCGUCAGUGCCAGCACCGUCCAGACAGACUGACAGGGCAGCCCCUAUACAGGGCACUGCUGGGCACCAAGGCAGGGGAGAGGGAGGGAGAGAGAGAGAUACAUCUCUGGAAGGUCUCUCACUAGCGUUUCAUAUGAAAGCCUGAAAAGGCAUAUCCCUCUGUAUACCACUCAUUGGCCAGAACUGGUCACAGCAGGCAAGGCCGUGGAAUCUUAAUCUCCAAAAGGCAGAGAGUUAGAAAAAAAUAAAAGAAAGGCCUGGAGUUCACAUUGUGGUUCAGCAGGUUAAAAACGCGACGGGUAUCCAUGAGGAUGAGGGUUUGAUCCCUGGCCUUGC